UGUCCAGUAGCACCUUAGAGACCAACUAAGUGUGCAUGCACACAAAGGCUUUUAUACCCAGAACAAACUUAGUUGGUCUCUAAGGUGCUACUGGACA